UACGUAGGGUGCGAGCGUUGUCCGGAAUUAUUGGGCGUAAAGAGCUCGUAGGCGGCUUGUGCGUCGGAUGUGAAAGCCCGGGGCUUAACUCCGGGUCUGCAUUCGAUACGGGCAGGCUGGAGUGCGGUAGGGGAGAUCGGAAUUCCUGGUGUAGCGGUGAAAUGCGCAGAUAUCAGGAGGAACACCGGUGGCGAAGGCGGAUCUCUGGGCCGUUACUGACGCUGAGGAGCGAAAGCGUGGGGAGCGAACAGG
rnacentral:rRNA from 1 species